rnacentral:sRNA from 15 species
GUCAAUAAACCACGAACCUAAAGGUUCGGAGCUUGUAAAAGCUCUUAUUGAUUAGACUAAGUUCUUCGAGAACUACGUUAUUUGGGUCAUGAUACCUACGGAUAUUUAGCCAAGUCUGUAGCACUAUC